rnacentral:rRNA from 1 species
UACGUAGGGUGCGAGCGUUACUCGGAAUUACUGGGCGUAAAGCGUGCGUAGGUGGUGAGUUAAGUCUGUCGUGAAAGCCCCCGGGCUCAACCUGGGAAUGGCGAUGGAUACUGGCUCGCUAGAGUGCGGUAGAGGAGAGUGGAAUUCCUGGUGUAGCGGUAGAAAUGCGCAGAUAUCAGGAGGAACACCAAUUGCGAAGGCAGCUCGCUGGGACGUUACUGACGCUGAGACGCGAAAGCGUGGGGAGCAAACAGG